CCUGAUGUGGUAUUGGGUGAGGGAAGAUAAGAUGCUUGUCUUCUAUAGAAGGAAAGUUUUCACUUUCCACAUAUGGAUUCGAACAUUGUGAUUUUUGCCUUCCUGUGCCUGCUGUAUCCAACAAACAUCUGAACCCUCAUCACUAAAAAGGAUAUGUUUUUCAGUCAAGAUGCCUGAGAAGGUUAUAAGCAGCUCCUUUCUUCUUCUUCAUGCCAUGGCCAGGUGGACAGGAUUUCAUUUGGAGGAUUAUCUGGAAGGCAUAUCACAUAAAAUUCUACAACAAGAAUAAAGAAUGCAUAUUAUUAUAGAUAAUGAGUGAGUGGCAAACAUAUACCACAUUCAGUUUGAAUGCACACUGUCCUGUAUUCCAUCCUAAUGCAGUCACAUGCCAUCCUAUGUACACACAUGCAGACACUUAUUUUUCCAUGUUUUACAGAGAUAACAGUAGACAGAUGGGGGGAGAGUUGUGCAGGUGUCUCCAGCAGUGAGCCUUGCUCUCAUUUUGGAAUGCAGUCUGUAGUCUUAGCAACCAACAGGGUUGUUUGGGAUUCCCAUGGCCAAAAACACAAUUAGAUAUAACCCGGUUCUGGUACCAGAAGGUCCAUUUGGUGGCAAGCGAUGCCAGUUGGGACUCUUUCCUAUUAUAUGGCAGUUUCGCUUAGAUUUCCAUACAUACAUACAUACAUACAUACAUACAUACAUACAUACAUACAUAUAUGACUACCACUCAAAUGCCCCCUAAUGUUAGGUGCCUUUCCCCAUAUUUCCCACACUCUAUCCUAUCUCCUUUCCCUCCCUCUUGAUUCUUCCAUUCUAGCUCUACAUAUCUAUCAGUAAUUAUUUAUUCUGUCUCCCUUUCCUAAUGAGAAGCAUCUGUCCCAUCUGGUCCCUAAUAGUACACCUACUAUAAUACUGUUAAUACUACUAUAGUCUCUGGUUCUUAGGUAUCAUUAACUUCACAGCUAAUAUAUGCAUACAAGUGAAUAUAUACCAUAUUUGUCUUUCUGAAUCUGGAACACAUCAUUCAUGUAUUCCUAAGUUCUGUCCAUUUGACUGCAAAUUUUAUGAUAUCAUUUUUAAGAGCUGAGUAAUUCCCCAUUGUGUAAAUGUACCAUAUUUCCUUUAUACAUUCUUCUGUUGAAGAACAUCUGGUUUGUUUCCAAGUUCUUGCUAUUAUGAAUACAGCAGUAUUUAACAUGGUUGUGCAAAUGUCCUUAGGAUAGGAUGGAGCAUUCUUCAAGUUCAAGGGUCCCCAGUAUCUCUCUCUUCUAUUAGUGUAUCUGGCUUUCUGUUGAGGUCUUGGAACAUUUGGGGUUGAGUUUUGUGCAGAGGGAUAGAUGUGGUAUAUUUAGAUUCUUCUGCAUGCAGACAUCCAGUUUGCAGUUUGACAGCACCAUUAAUUGACGACACUGUCAUCUUUCCAUUGUUUAAUUUUGGCCUCUUUAUCAAAGAACAGGUGUCCAUGGGUGUGUGGCUUUAUGUCUAGUACUUCAAUUAGAUUUCAUUAAUCAACCUGUCUGUUUUUUGUGCCAAUACCAUGCUGUUUUAAAUGCCCUACCUCUGUAGUUCAUCUUGAAGUUGGGAAUAAUGAGACCUCCAGCAGUUUUUUUUUCUUCUUCAGGACUGUUUUAACUAUCCUGUGGCUUUUGAGUUUCCAUAUGAACCUGAACAUUGUCUUUUUAAUGUCUAUAAAGAAUUGUGUUACAAUUUUAAUGGGUACUGCAUUGAAUCUGUAGAUUGCUUUCAAUAGGAAGGUCAUUUUUACCAGUUGAUGACCAUGGAAUCACUUUCCAUGUUAUGAUAAAGAAGACUUUAAUUUCUUUCCUCAAUGACUUGAUGUUUUUAUCACCCAAGACUUUCACUUGCUUGGUUAGAGUUACCCAAAAAUAUCUUAUUUGAUGUUACUGCGAAGGGUGUUGUUUCUCUGAUUUCUUGCUCAGUCCAUUUGUCAUUUGUUUAUAGGAGGGCUACUGAUGUUUUUGGGUUAGUUUUGUAUUCAGAUACUUUGCUGAAAAUAUUUAUGUGCCAUAGAAGUUUCCUGGUAGAAUUUUUAGGGUCACUCAUAUAUACUAUUGUGUCACCUGCAAAUGCAGAUACAUUGACAUCUUCCUUUCCAAUUUGUUUCCCAUUGAUCUCUUUCACUUGUCUUUUUAUUGAUGUAGCUAAGGCUUCAAGCUAUUGAACAAGUAUGGAGAGAGUGGACAACCUUGUCUUAUUCCUUAUUUUAGUGGAAUUCCUCUGAGUUUAAACUGCUUUUUUAUGUUGAGGUAUGCCCCUUGUAUCCCUAACCUCUCCAGGACUUUUAUGAAGUGGUGUUGGAUUUUGUCAGAGGUCUUUUCUGCAUCUAAUGUAGUGUUUAAUCUUUCACGUUGCUCAUAUGGUGUAUUACAUUUAUCUAUUCAUGUAUGUUUGACCAUGCUUAGAUCUCUGGGAUGAAGCCUGCCUGAUCAUGGUGCUUGAUUUGUUCUUGGAUUUGGUUUGCAAGUAUCUUAUUGAAUAUUCUUGCCUGUAUGGUUUUAUAAGGGGAAAUUGGUCUGUAAUCCUCUUUUGUUGUUAGUUUUUUAUGUGGUUUGGGUAUCAGAGUAAAUGUGGCCUCAUAAAAUGAAUUGGGCAGUAGUGUUCCUUCUGUUUCUGUUUUGUGAAAUACUCUGAGGAGUUUUGGCAUUAACUCUUCUUUAAAAGUCUGCAAAAGGGCUGGAGAGAUAGCUUAGCAGUUAAGAGCACUGACUGCUCUUCCAAAGGUCCUGAGUUCAAUUCCCAGAAACCACAUGGUGGCUCACAACCAUCUGCAAUGAGUUUUGAUGCCCUGUUCUGGUGUGUCUAAAGACAGCUACAGUGUACUUACACAUAAUAAAGAAAUAAAUCUAAAGAAAAAUAAAAAGGUCUGGAGAAAUGGCUCAGUAGUUACUGCUUUUUCAGAGGACCAGGCUCAAUUCCCAACACCUACAUGAUGGCCCACAACCAUAUCUAACUCCAAUUCCGGUGGAUAUACUGCGGACUUCUGAAAGCACCAGGCACACUGGCAGUGCACAGAUAUUCAUACAGGCAGAAGACUCGCAUAAAUAAGAUACUAAAGUUAAUUUUAAACUCUAGUCUGAUUGCACUCUGUGCUAAAACCAUCUGGUCCUGGGAUUUUAGGGAGUGGUGGGAUAUUUUAAUGACUCUUACUAUUUCAAUUGGAGUUACACAUCUAUCUAGUUUGCUUAUCUUGAUUUAACUUUGGUAAGUGGGAUGCACAGAGAAAAUUAUCAAUUUCGUUUGGAUUUUCCAGUUUGGUGAAGUACAGAUUUUAAACUAUGCCUUUAUGAUUCUGUGGAUUUCCUUGGUUCUGUUGUCAAAUCUCUCUUUCAUUUCUAUUUUUUUUUCAUUUGAACAUUCUCUCCUCACCUUUUAAUUAAUUUUGUAUAAGGGCUUUUCCAUCUAUAACUUUCCAAAGAACUUUGUUUCAUGGAUUCUUUGUGUUGCUUUGUUUGGUUCUAUCUUAUCUAUUUCUGCCCUGAAUUCGAUUUUUUCUUUCCAUCUACUUCUUUGCGGUGUGAUCUCCUCUUUUUAUUCUAGAGUUUUCAAUUGUGUGUUUUUUAUAUAAGCACUUAAUGCUAUGAAUGUCCACUUUAGAACUGCCUUCAAUGUAUUCCAUAACUUUGUGUAUGUUGGGUAUUUGUUUUCAAUCAGUUCUGCAAAGUCUUUUAUUUCUUGAUUUCUCUUUUGACUCAUGUAGUGGUUUGACAAUACCCCCAACCCACAGACCCAUAGAUUUGAAUACUGAGCACCAGGGAAUGGCUCUAUAUAGAGAGAUUAGAAAGUGUGGCCUUUUGAAGAAAGUAUGCCACUAGAAGUAGGCUUUGAAGGUUCAAAUGUCCACACCAGAGUGAGUGUCUUGCUCUCUCUCUCUCUCUCUCUCUCUCUCUCUCUCUCUCUCUCCUGCCUGGGGAUCAGGAUGUAACACUCUCAGCUAAUUUUCUAGCAAUGUGCCUUUUGGCUUCCCACCAUGAUAGUAAUGGACUGACCCUCUGAAUUAGCCCCUAAUUAAAUGUUGACUUUUAUAAAAAAAAAAAAAGUAUUGUCUUGGUCAUGGGGUUUCUUCAUAGCAAUAAAACAAUAAGUAAGAAAAGGAUACCAAAAAUUUUGCCUCUGAAUAAAGUUGAAUUAAUUAUGAAAAAAUCUUUUAAAAAUAAGAAAAAGCUUGAAUUUUGUGCUGGAUACUCCAAUUUGGAUAACCUGGAGUCUAGCUCUCCUUGCCAGCCAAGACUGUUCCUGGAGAACACCCAUAUACACCGCGCCCUCUGCUGGACAUGUUCUUAUCUUCAGUCGUCUCACAAACAGCACAGAAAGGCUAGGACAAUGUAGAGAACAAGAUCAGGGAAUCAUGUCUGCCCUCUAGAGGCUGAAUAGAACCAGGCUGACCCUCCAGAGAAGCCCCUGAGACAAACUGCACCCAGCUAUUUGGAACCACUUGGCACCUGCACUUUAGCCUCCAGAGACACCACCACAUGUGCAUCUCAGUCGUCAGAAUCAUCACCAUCUUCUGGAACAGUGAAACUGUUCCUGGAGGAUAGAGAGUCCAAGGAUCAACCACAACAGCCCUGUUGAGAGGCCCUCUCCUCUGAGUCUCCUGUGCUCUCUGCCUGCUGUGGGUCCCAUAGCUGCCUCUGCUCUCAAGAUAAAUUAGCAAACUGUUUAGAAAGGUGAUCAGACUGGAGAAUAUGUGAGGGGAGACUGGACAGAGGAAAUGAGAAGAGGAGGAGAGAGAAGAGUGCAAUGAUCAAACUUGAUUUACUCAAGAACCAGAGGGAAAAUCAGAAGAAUAUCUGAGGUAGUGCCAGGAAAAGGUGAGCCGAGCCAGACACAAUAUUGUUAGGAGACAGUAGAAAGAUAAUUGUGCUAACAGACUCAGAAGAUAGUUUGUGACAAGUGAGCCAGGAGAAGCUGAGCUGAGCACAUAAGCUAGAACCCUGUUUAUCAUUUGGAGCUGCUAGUGUUGGGGAAAGUGGGAGAAGGGGCUGUUUGAGCUCACUGUUGGGGAACUGAGGGAGGAGCAGUGAAGACACACUUUGGAAGACACACUUUUGGAAGACUCACUCUGGCCUGGAAACUGAGAGGAGGGCUGAUGUUUGCAAGAAAAGGGGACAGAAGAAUCUACAAAAUAGCAAGAGAGAAAAACUAUAAACAAGGAUGGGGAAUAAUUGUUUCUUCUUCUGCAAAAGCUCCAGUCUACUUCUCUUCUUACUUCACAUCUUUGAGGAUCAUGGCAUUACAUGGGUUCUCUACCCAAUGGCCUUAAGGAAGGUUGCCUUGCAGUAUGGCUAGAAUCAUGCAACUGCUCCCAUGUGACCAAGUUGCCUUCCUUAGCUUGCUCUGGGCUGUUUGCUUUACCACCAUGCUGGUUUGGAAGGGAAUGGUCCCCAUAGGCUCAUAGAUUUGGAUGCUCAGUGCCUACUUGAGAGGGAUUGAGUGGUAUGACCUUGUUAGAGUUGAUGUGUCACUGGGGGUUUAGGAUUUCGAAAGUUCAAGGCAGUUCAGUGUCCAGCAGUCUCUGUCUCUCUCCUCUCUCUCACCCCUCCCUUUCCCUCCCUAUCUCCCUCUCCUUCUACCACUCUGCCUAUUGAUCAAUAUGUAGAAUUCUCAGAUCCUUCUCCAGCUGCUAUAUCUUCCUGUGUCCGACCAUGUUUUCUGCCGUGAUGACAAUUAACUAAACUUAUGAAAUUGUAUGCCAGCCCCAAUUUAGUGUUUUCCUUUACAAGAGUUGCCUUGGUCAUGAUGUCUCUUCACAAUGACAGAAAACUAACACAGCUACCAAAAGUCACUUUUGUUUUUGAGCUUUGUACAUGUAAAUGAAUCUGACCCAAACAGAGUUUUGUUUCAUCUCAGACAUAUAUCCAAUUUUAAGAAGAUACGACAUUAUCCCUUUGUGUAGUGGAUUUGCCUGGUGCUGCCUGUAUGCAAAUGCUAAAUUCUGUACCCCAAGAUCUGGCUUCUGCAAAACAAGGAGAUCCUCAGUGUGAUGGUUUGUACAUCCUUGGACCAGGGAGGGGCACCAUCUGAAGGUGUGGACUUGUUGGAAUAUGUGUGACCUGGUUGGAAUGGGUGUGUCACUGUGGGUGUGGGUAUAAGAUCCUCACCCUAGUUGCCUGGAAGUCACUCUUCCACUAGCAGCCUUUGGAUGAAGACAUAGAACUCUCAGCCCCUCCUGCACCAUGCCUGCAUGGAUAUUGCCAUGCUCCCACCUUGAUGAUAAUGGACUGAACCUCUGAACCUGUAAGCCAGCCCCAAUUAAACGUUGCUUUUUAUAAGACUUGCCUUCAUCAUGUUGUCUGCUCACAGCAGUAAAACCCUAAAUAAGACAGAAGUUGGUACCAGGAGUGGGGUAUUGCUGUGAUAGGCCUGACCAUGCUUUUAUUUGAAAGAAUGUGGAUUUUGGGACUUUGGAUUAGAAAAGCAGUAGAAUGCUUUAAAUGGGGCUUAAUGGGUCAUCCUAGUAGGAAUAUGGAAGAUUUUGUUUCUGGGAGUGAUUUGAACUGUGUUGACCUGGCCCAAGUGAUUUCAGAGGAGAAGAAUUUCAGAAUGUGGCAUGAAGACUGUUUUUGUGGUAUUUUGGUGAAGAAUGUGGCUACUUUUUGCCCUUGUCUGAAAAGUUUGCCUGAGGCUAAGGUGAAGAGACUUGGAUUAAUUGCAUUGAAAAAAGAAGUUUCAAAAAAGCCCAGCAGAGACUUUGUUCUCUGGUUAAGUCUUAUGAAGAGAAGUUUGAAUAAGCAUAGCAAGCUUAGAAAGGAAAAAUAUAAAAUAUAUGGUUCGAGUAUUAAAGGAGUACCAGGAAGUAAAAUGGAGCAAAAUCUUGUGUUCUAGGAGAUAACAGAUUAGGAGUGGGACCUUGGGGCAAGAUUCUACCCAGCUUAAUUAGAUCCAGGCAUGGUGGUACACACCUUUAAUCGCAUGCUGAUCUCUACAUUCAAGGUCUAUAAUCUAUAGAGCAAGAACCAGGAUAGCCAAGCUUAGGCAGUAAAGGAUUUAGAAAACAUAAAGCUAGUGAUAAUGUAAUAGUACAAGGGGAUCAUGUUCUAGUUCCUGUAAGCAGCAGAACUCAGCAGUUUCAGCCAUGUGGCUCUGGAUCUAGAGUUAAGAAUGGAAGGAACUACAGGGAAAAUUGAUGCUGGUUAGCUGGAGCUAAGGAAUUAGGAGUGAUUAAGAAGAGAUCAGCAUCACUGAGGUGAAAUCUUCUGGAAAUUGUUUUCUGGGAGCACAAAGAAGCUGUGUUCCAGAGAUACCCAAGGUUGUACCUCAUGCUGUGGCUGGACUUGGUAAUGUGUAAGAGUCACUCAGUUGGUACUGCUUGUGAAGGAAUGAAGGGAUCAUGGAGAGAAGCUGAGGCUUAGCACUGUGAGAGGCCAGGGAAGGCCAUUGGGGAAGGUGAAGCCUCAGGUGUAGUUGAUGGCCCAGGACUGAAGGGGUCAUGCAAAGGAUUUGAGGCUUGGCACCCUGAAGAGAGCCUAUGAGAGGCUAUUGGUGAAGCCUAGUUGGAGUGGAACACCCCAGUGUAUUGGAAAUGUCAGUACCAUGGGAUGAUCACCAAGAACAGCAGCCGUAGUGGAUUGGAUCAACCUGACCAUAGAGUGAUACAGAGGACAGAGAUGGAGAAGUGAUGCCAGCCCUUAGGAGGAGUCCAAAAGAUCAAGCAGAAUCCCAGACACUGGAAGAAGAAGCUGUAACAUUGAAAUUGCCUUGGAGACUCAAAGAUGUUAAAGAUGCCAGAGCCAUGGGAUACAUGCUGAGGAAAGCUUCUAACAGGGAGUAGAACCAGCCCAGGAGAAAGCAGUUUGUCGCAGUCAAGAAAGAUGAAAAAGGAGUGGAGAUCUGAAGACCACUUUGACAUCAGUCAUGGAGAUGCAGAGUUUAGAGUUUGCCAAGGUGGUUUCCUACCUUGUUUUGGGGAUUACAGUUAAUUAAGUUGAAUGAGUCUCAGAAGAGACUUUGAACUUUGGACUUUUAACAUUGCUGCAACUGCUAUAGACUAUGAGGACUUUGAAAGUUGGACUAAAUGCAUUUUGCAUUAUGCUAUGUUUAAGUAUGGCCCCCAUAGACUCAUGUCUUUGAACAAGUCUAUGGGGACCAGGGAGUGGAAUGUGAUGGUUUGUAUAUCCUUGGACCAGGGAGGGGCACCAUCUGAAAGUGUGGACUUGUUGGAAUAGGUGUGACCUGGUUGGAAUGGGCGUGUCACUGUGGGUGUGGGUAUAAGAUCCUCACCCUAGUUGCCUGGAAGUCACUCUUCCACAAGCAGCCUUUGGAUGAAGACAUAGAACUCUCAGCUCCUCCUGCACCAUGCCUGCCUCGAUACUGCCAUACUCCCACCUUGAUUAUAAUGGACUGAACUUCUGAACCUGUAAGCCAGCCCCAAUUAAAUGUUGCUUUUUAUAAGACUUGCCUUCGCAUGUUGUCUGUUCACAGCACUAAAACCCUAACUAAAACACUCAGGUACACCAGAUUUUGUUACAUAUACGUAACCCCACCAAGUUAUCCCUCUUUGGUUAAUAAAGAUGCCUGUGUCCUGGGCUGCACAGAAGAGAGGAGGAGGAACAGAAUUCCUGAACUUGAAGUCCCAGUCAGAGACCGUGAGGAGAGAAGAAAGAAAAACACGGGGUAGGGGGUAGGGUGUGAGCCACCAUAGAGAAGGUAGGUCAUGAGUGUAUGGCCAAGAAUUUGGCCAGAAGAAAUAGGAGAGGCCCAUGUGGAAGGAACAUGGCAAGUAUCUUAAUUAGGGUUUUCCAGCUGUGAACAGACACCAUGACCAAGUCAACUCUUAUAAAGGACAUCAUUUAAUUGUUCUGGCUUACAGGUUCAGAGGUUCAGUCCAUUAUCAAGGUGGGAGCAGGGCAGCAUCCAGGCAGGCAUAGUGCAGGAACAGCUGAGGAUUCCACAUCUUCAUCUGGAGGCUGCUAGUGGAAGACUCACCUCCAGGCAGCUAGGAUGAGGGUCUUAUCUUUCUCGUCACCUGCUGCUCUCCCUAAGCUUGGCUGUUCUAUAGAUUGACCUUGAGUUCAGAGAUCUGAAUGCCUGUCUCCAGGGAUUAAACGUGUGUACCACCAUGCCUGGAUCUAAAAGUAACUCGGUAGGAUCUUGCCCCAAGGUCCCACUCCCUUAAUCUGGUCUCUUCUAGAACACAGGAUUCAGCUCCACUCUAUUUCCUAGUGCCCGUUUAAUUGAACUCUUGAACCACAUGUUUGCUUUCUUUCCUUUCUCAACUUGCUCCUUUUCAUUAAACUGCUCUUCAUAAGAGAGAACUUUAGUAACCGCACAACAGAAUUUACACCAGGCUUUUUUGAGACUUCCUGUUUCAAAGUAAAUAAUGAAAUUAUUUCACCUUAGUGUUAGGACAGACUCUUUGGACAAUGGCAAAAAGCAGCCACAUUCUUCGCCAAAAUACCACAGAAACAGUGUCUGAGCCUCAUACUGAAAUUUCUUCUCCACUGAAACCUCUUGGGGCCCGUCCUCAUAGUUCAAACCACUCACAGCAGCAUAGUCUUCCAU
rnacentral:lncRNA from 1 species